rnacentral:rRNA from 1 species
UACGAAGGGGGCUAGCGUUGCUCGGAAUCACUGGGCGUAAAGCGCACGUAGGCGGGUUGUUAAGUCGGGGGUGAAAUCCUGGAGCUCAACUCCAGAACUGCCUUCGAUACUGGCGACCUUGAGUCCGGGAGAGGUGAGUGGAACUCCGAGUGUAGAGGUGAAAUUCGUAGAUAUUCGGAAGAACACCCGUGGCGAAGGCGGUUCUCUGGGACGGUACUGACGCUGAGACGCGAAAGCGUGGGGAGCGAACAGG